rnacentral:rRNA from 1 species
UACGAAGGGUGCAAGCGUUACUCGGAAUCACUGGGCGUAAAGCGUGCGUAGGCGGUUGAUUAAGUCUGCUGUGAAAGCCCCGGGCUUAACCUGGGAAUGGCCAUGGAAACUGGCGAACUGGAGUGUGGCAGAGGGGGGUGGAAUUCCUGGUGUAGCAGUGAAAUGCGUAGAGAUCAGGAGGAAUACCGAUGGCGAAGGCAGGUCCCUGGGCUGACACUGACGCUCAUGCACGAAAGCGUGGGGAGCAAACAGG